rnacentral:rRNA from 1 species
GACGGAGGAUGCAAGCGUUAUCCGGAAUUAUUGGGCGUAAAGCGUACGUAGGCGGCUUGGUAAGUCAGAGGUGAAAGCCCACGACUCAAUCGUGGAACUGCCUUUGAGACUGCUUCGCUUGAAGAUGGGGGAGGUUAGUGGAAUUCCGAGUGUAGAGGUGAAAUUCGUAGAUAUUCGGAAGAACACCAGUGGCGAAGGCGGCUAACUGGACCAUUCUUGACGCUGAGGUACGAAAGCGUGGGGAGCAAACAGG